UGGAAUUAUUGUAAUCCUUAAGUUGAUUAUGUUGUCAUGAUCCUUUUGGGGGAAAAUUCUUUUUUUCCAAAACGAUCACAUGGUAAUGUAAAAAUGGAGAUUUGAACUCUGGACUCCAUUCCCCAGAAGUCCUUGCUCACUUCCCAAAAUGCCUUGUAACCUCACCUAGGCCGAGAGCGAGAUGGGGUAUUUAACUUGGUUGUAAAGGCUACUGGGUCCUCUUUUCUACUUCCGCUUCCCAGCAGACGCAUCUCUUUCAUUUUGUAGGUGAGGUUGUCUAGGGCUCUGUGGAAAGGAAACAAGCCUGACAGUUUGUGGGGGAAAGGCCCAACUGGGAGUGGCAGUUGGGUCUUGUGACUAGCACUUCCUUCCUGCUGGGAGUGGCAGUGGGGUCUGGUGACUAGUCCUUCCUUCCUGCGAGGUAGGUCUUGCUUCCUGGGUGUUGGAGGAGAGAGGAGCAUGGUCAGCCCAGUCUGGAGUGGCAUGCUCUUCUUGGUUCAACCAGAAGACACAGGCCUCUGAAGAGUCCUUUCCCCAAGUCUCUCUGAUUGGUGGACUCAGAACUCGGUCUGGACAAGAGCUUGGUGGCAGCUGGUUGGCAUAG
rnacentral:lncRNA from 1 species